AUGCACAAAGGCCAGCCUAGAUCUAACGGAGCCGACGAUGAGGCUGGAAUCCCAGGCUUAUUCCUGAAGGAAGGGCGCAGGGGAGGACAAGGGGAACCCAACAAGCUGCUCUGCACUUGCAAUUGGAAGACAAAACUACACCUCCCAGGAAGCAGUUCGGCCCUUGCCCGCCCCCUCCCCGCGCUCCGCCUUCCCCGCCCCAUCCCUUCCCGGCCUGGCGCGUAUAUAAGGGCCAAAUGGUCCCGCCGAGAGCAGAGCGUGGAGGUGGCGCGGGCGCGGCGGUGGGCCUGGGGGUCGUCACUCCUGCAGCUGGCAGCCGCCGCUCCGCGCUUCCUGCCGCAUCUCUCUUGCCCGGCGGGCGCCCAUCCCGUCCCGCCCCGGCCCGUGGACCUGCAAACCGAGGCUCAGAGCGGAUUUGCCCUAGGGGCUUUCACGAGCUUAGCAGAGGGGUUCCCGGCGGGGUUCCCUGGGGUCACGGGGCGCGAUGAGCAGCGAAGAAAGGAGGCGAGGAGCUGCGUCCGGGCUUGGUGCUCUCUGAACGCGAGGAGGCGGGAUGCGCUCGCCGGGGUCCAUGAUGUGCUCGGCGCCCGUCCCUGGGCCCGGGAAUGCGGCCGCUGGGGAACCGGGGCCAGCGAAUUCGCCCGCGAUCUCCGCGGAUCCCAGGACUGCCAGCGCUUUGGCCCUAGAUGGACGGUGGGGAAUGGGGUAGGGGGCUCCGGAACCCCUAACGUGGAUUACUUGGUGCAUAUCGCCCGGGCAUGGAAGACCCACCACCUCGUCUCCACCCGUGGAUUGAUGCCUUCUGCCGAACAGGUCGCUUACCUGGAGGUGGAACCAGAGAUUCGUGGCUGCUGUGAGUAGGUGCUUCUGACGGGGAAAGAAGGACAAGAUGAGAGGCCUGGAAGGAAGGACCGAUAAAGGGCUGUUCUUCCUCGCCCACGCUUCCCACCAGGAACUUCUGUGGAGCCAGAGUUUGCCGCCAGAACCCCCACAGGACCUGGGUGAAACAGGACCAUCUCUUAAGAGGCAAGAGCUCUUGAUUUGAUUGAGGAUUCUUAUUUUGGAGAACAAAGCAACUUCCAGAUUUGAGAAGACCUGCAGUUGAAGAAGACACCAUUGUCCCGGAUCCCUUGUUCUUCCUUCGCGUGGGAAAUGUUUCUUGGCGGGUGCCUGGUCUUAAGACUCCCCCACACCGGCCCCAGGGAAGCCAAGGACUUUCUGCCACACCCUUCCUCGCCCCCCACCUCCCACGUCCGCUGUGCCUUUGGACUCGGCAAUUCUUGUUUGCUCCAUUAUCUUCCAGCCGGAUACAGAGUGAAUAGUUAACUACCCGCAGGUCAAUGGGGUCUUAAUUUUUGUUCCUGCUCCCUCUACAGAGGCCAGUGUCUGUGUGUUGCUAUGCAAGCGGCCUUGGAAUUGCAUCCCUUCUCAUUGAUUUGGGAUCUGGCCCCCGCAGGUUCCAGAGCAAUGCGGGUCCAGGCAGAAAUUCUUCAGGCUCUCAGGAUGUUGGAGGGGGCGCUGGCCGCGAGCUGGACCAUGAAGGCUGGCGUUCCCCACAUUCAGCUUUCUUGGGUUCGGAUCAUAAGCAGGUGUAGAUCUGGAGAAGCAGAAAAUGAACACAUUUUCUACUGACACCGAUGCACGGUCAGCGGUGAAGACCUUCUCCCAGCUAGCAUUUGGGUUCUGUGUCCAAACGCGGCGCUUCAUGGCAGAGUAUCCAGCCACCAGAGUUGGUGUGUCUUGAGGACCUGAAUUCUUGAGUGUGUGCUGGUGACACAGCCCUCUGACAGUCGAUGGGGCCUCACAAAACACAAGUCCUGCCUUUUCCUUUUCACUCUGUGGCCGUCAUACAUACGGCUAAAAACAUUUCCUAGAGAUCAGUCAUGGUUCAGUCGUGUCCAAAACGCAGAGCCAAAGAUGCAUUUUCUCUUUUCACAGCAAAUGAAUGACUUGCCUUCGGAAAAAGAAUGAAAGCCAGACAUUCUGCAUCUUUCCCGUGUUGUAGAUGAUGCAUUUGGAUGACCACUUUGUGACUUUGGUGUCUUAGAAGGGAAGCAGUGGGGUCCUUGGCAUCUCAGAUUCACCACAAAACAGACGAGGAGAACUUCUGGCGGAUGGUUUGUGCUUUUGAAAUGGGAGGCUUGUUUGUGGGCUUUUACCUUCCUUCCUUGACCUGCAGACACCUCAUUGCAUUAGAUUCCUUUGGGUUUUAAGAAGCAGAGACUUGCUUAUACUGCUCCGUACAUGCUGGUUUGUUUCGAGUUGCCAUGGACGUAAAGAAGAAAGGAAGCAGCCCGCCGAGGCGCUCUCCACCUAGGCCUGCCCAAGAAGCCCAAGUCGUUCCAGAUAGCCAGGGAUAGCAGAACCGAACCACCCUGGCCAUCUUGAUCUUCUGUUUGCACCAGCAUCCACUGUUCCCAGGAUCCUACCAUGGUGAUGAGCUGAGGGUGACUCAGUUGGCCCAGGACUGAGGAGUUUCCUGGGAUGCAGGACUUUUUAGUGCUAAACCUAGGACAGUCCUAAGCAAACUGGAACAACCAGUCACCCUACUGGGUGACUCGAGGACCCUGCCUCUCUUCUACUUUCCCUGCUGUGACUGGCUGAUGCUCUUGAUGGGUCUGGCCAGUCGCCAUUCAAAACUCUUGCAUCAGGCAACUUCAUUGGCCACUGGGCUACCUAUAGAUGGGUGCCCGUGGACCCAGCACCAACCCAUCUUGACCAGAUUUGUUGUUUCCAGGGUCAUAGGGUUGCAUAAUCUAGAAUAAAAGCCUGGCUGUAAACAACCAGCUGAGACCACUUCCUUCAGAAGACUGCUGUGGACAGGUGGCCCUGGCAGGCAUUCAAGGUAUCAGGGGUUCCUAUCUGAUACAACCCAACUUAUAAAGAUGGUAUUAACCUUUUCUAUUAAGAACCAAACAGUUCAUUAUGAAACAGAAACAAAUAUAGCCACUGGGAACAAGGGGAAAGAGACUGCAGAGUGUGUGUGUGUGUGUGUGUGUGUGUGUGUGUGUGUGUGUGUGUUUACCAUACAAGUUCACACUGUAUAGAAUAAGGAGACAAGAAGAAAAGUCUCCAUCUGAGCUCGACAGAAAACUAAGACCUAAAAUCCUUGGGAUGCUGAUGUCUGGAGUUCAAAGGCAUGAGCUACAGGACUUCCUGAAAUUUCUUUGAACUCUAGGACCCCUUCACACUCUCAGGGGCAUGUAAAUUUGGCCUACGUGUGUACUUUCUGUUUAAGUCUCCUAGAGAACUUUUGAAGUCAACUCAGAUAGCAUUGAAUAGGACCUCCCAGCUCCCCCGUACCGUUCCAGACACUUGACUUUAUCUGGGAUAAGGGAGCGGAACUUGGUGGUAGGAGCCCAGGGUAGAGGAGGAGAAGGUUGUGCCAGCCCCCAUUUGGGGUGUUCCUGACAGGUAAGAACCACCUGAAGGCAAAUUACAGGUUCUUUUCGGGAUAGCUAAAGCCAGGCUUUCAGGAUGGCAUGCCAUCCUGAUGUUGUUGCUUCUUGUCGAAGGGGGAUCAAGUCUUUAUCUUUUUUGUUGAAAGGCAGGCCUGAGCAUCUGGAGUCCUGGAACAUGAGCCUUCAGCUAAUCAUGUUCAUCUUACAUGAUGUGGCCACCGGGGAAUCUUCGCCUGCUAAGAUAGAGAUGAGCAGGCAAACAUCUAGAAACUACCCUCUCAUUACACAUGCGUGGAGACCAAGACCCAACAUGGUGCGUCUGGGUCUUCACCCCGGUUCCGACUUUCCCUGCCUUCAUGGCCAUUGAAGGAAGGCUAGUCAGCUCCCGGGUGCCACUUUUCUUUUUCAAAAGGUGGACUCACUUCAGAUGUUACCUUCAUCUGUAUCCCACAGAUAUCCCUUGGUUCCAGCAGAAGUCCCACGAUUGUGCCAAAAGCAACAACUUUCUCUUUUUCUCUCUUUUCUUCUCAUCCAUAUAGAAUCCCAGAAUCCCAAGAGCCUGAUGGAGUCUAAAAGCAUCCCUCUUAUCCCCGAUCUACCUCUGACUAAUGCAGGAAUUCCCUUUCCAACAUUGGAUGAGGGAUGGUCCAGCCCUGGGGGAGGCAGCCUUUCUGGCAGAGUAGCGGAAGAGAACUGUGAGAGAAGGUUGGAUGAUAUUCAACCUGGUGGGGAAGCAGAAUUUUAAAGAGCAACUCACAGGCUGCCAAGUGUCCAUGAAUGUUGAUUUCUCCAUCAGAUAUUGAGCCAAAUGCAUCUUAUUUCUGGGCCCAGGUGCAUGUCUUAUGCUGAUAAAAAAAACAAAACAAAAGAGUGGGGAGACCAGGAGACUUGAGUGUCUCAGAAAACCCCUCUUCUUGGUUCCUUCCAGGUAAAAUGAGUGAGUCAGGCCACACGCUUCCCAAAGCCUCUGCCAGCGCUGCCAUCCACAGGGCUGCCAUAUUGGAUGCAGUUCAUGACAAAGGAUUUGCUACUUUUUGUUCUCUCUGGCUCUCCUCCUGCCUUCCCUUCAGCUUGCUCCAAGAUCAUGU
rnacentral:lncRNA from 1 species